rnacentral:ncRNA from 1 species
ACAAAGUUCGGUCCUGUCUUUACUAACAGCUUUAGCCAAAUUUACACAUGCAUGUAUCCGCAUCCCUGUGAGAAAGCCCUUUAAUUCCUCCAAGGAAAAAGGAGUUGGUAUCUGGCACAAACUUUUAGCCCAUCGACACCUUGAUCAGCCCCACCCGCAAGGUAAUACAGCAGAGAUACAUAUUUAGCAAUAACUGAAAUCUUGACUCAGUUAACGCUAACGAAGGCUGGUAAAACUCGAGCCAGCCAGCGCGGUUAAACGAGCGGCCUAAGAUGAUAUCUACCGGCUUAAAGUGUGGUUAUGGCAAGCCUAUAACUCAAGCCCAACUUAUUGACCGCCGUUCAACGCAUACGAUAAUAUGAACCCCCGCAACGAAUGUCGCUUUAAUGUUCCAGACCCCACGAAGGCUGUGAAACAAACUGGGAUUAGAUACCCCACUAUGCACAGCCCUAAACUUUGAUAGAAACAUUACACCCACUAUCCGCCAGGGUACUACGAGCUCUAGCUUAAAAUCCAAAGGACUUGGCGGUGCUUUAGACCCACCUAGAGGAGCCUGUUCUAGAACCGACAACCCCCGUUCAACCUCACCCUCCCUUGUUUAUCCCGCCUAUAUACCGCCGUCGUCAGCUUACCCCAUGAAGGAUUCAUAGUAAGCAAAACUAGUACAACUUAAAACGCCAGGUCGAGGUGUAGCGCAUGAGAGGGGAAGAAAUGGGCUACAUUCCCUAAAUAAGGGCACACGGAAAAUACAAUGAAAUGCGUAUUGGAAGGAGGAUUUAGCAGUAAGCAGAAAAUAGAGUGUUCUACUGAAACUGGCCCUGAAGCGCGCACACACCGCCCGUCAAUCUCACCUAAACCAUCAAGCAAAAUAACUAACAUGAGUAAACUACUAAAGGGGAGCCAAGUCGUAACAUCGUAAGUGUUCCGGAAGGUGGACUUGGUUAA